UCGGAUCGCAGGCUGNAACCCGCCUGCGUGAAGUUGGAAUCGCUAGUAAUCGCGGAUCAGCAUGCCGCGGUGAAUACGUUCCCGGGCCUUGUACACACCGCCCGUCACACCAUGAGAGUCGGGAACACCCGAAGUCCGUAGCCUAACCGCAAGGGGGGCGCGGCCGAAGGUGGGUUCGAUAAUUGGGGUGAAGUCGUAACAAGGUACC
rnacentral:rRNA from 1 species